UACGUAGGGGGCUAGCGUUGUCCGGAAUCAUUGGGCGUAAAGCGCGUGUAGGCGGUCCGGUAAGUCCGCUGUGAAAGUCGGGGGCUCAACCCUCGGAUGCCGGUGGAUACUGUCGGGCUUGAGUACGGAAGAGGCGAGUGGAAUUCCUGGUGUAGCGGUGAAAUGCGCAGAUAUCAGGAGGAACACCAAUUGCGAAGGCAGCUCGCUGGGACGUUACUAACGCUGAGACGCGAAAGCGUGGGGAGCAAACAGG
rnacentral:rRNA from 1 species